GACAGAGGCCCCAAGCGUUAGGCGGAAUCACUGGGCUUAAAGCGUGUGUAGGCGGAUCGUUAAGUGUCUUGUGAAAUCCCACGGCUCACCCGUGGAACUGCUGGGCAUACUGGCGAUCUUGGGCCAACUAGGGGCAGUCGGAACAAGCGGUGGAGCGGUGAAAUGCGUAGAUAUCGCUUGGAACGCCGAAGGUGAAAACAGACUGCUGGGGUUGCGCCGACGCUGAGACACGAAAGCCAGGGGAGGCAAAACGGGG
rnacentral:rRNA from 1 species